UGGGGAAUAUUGGACAAUGGGGGCAACCCUGAUCCAGCCAUGCCGCGUGAGUGAUGAAGGCCUUCGGGUUGUAAAGCUCUUUUGGCGGGGACGAUGAUGACGGUACCCGCAGAAUAAGCCCCGGCUAACUUCGUGCCAGCAGCCGCGGUAAGACGAAGGGGGCUAGCGUUGUUCGGAAUUACUGGGCGUAAAGCGAGUGUAGGCGGUUGCCGUAGUCAGGUGUGAAAGCCUUGAGCUCAACUCAAGAAAUGCACUUGAUACUGGGUGACUAGAGGACCGGAGAGGAUAGUGGAAUUCCCAGUGUAGUGGUGAAAUACGUAGAGAUUGGGAAGAACACCAGUGGCGAAGGCGGCUAUCUGGACGGUUACUGACGCUAAGACUCGAAAGCGUGGGGAGCAAACAGGAUUAGAUACCCUGGUAGUCCACGCCGUAAACGAUGGGUGCUAGACGUUGGCGAGCUUGCUCGUCAGUGUCGCAGCUAACGCGUUAAGCACCCCGCCUGGGGAGUACGGCCGCAAGGUUGAAACUCAAAGG
rnacentral:rRNA from 1 species